AGUGAACGCUGGCGGUAGGCCUAACACAUGCAAGUCGAACGGCAGCACAGGGGAGCUUGCUCUCUGGGUGGCGAGUGGCGGACGGGUGAGGAAUACAUCGGAAUCUACUCUGUCGUGGGGGAUAACGGAGGGAAACUUACGCUAAUACCGCAUACGACCUACGGGUGAAAGCAGGGGACCUUCGGGCCUUGCGCGAUUGAAUGAGCCGAUGUCGGAUUAGCUUGUUGGCGGGGUAAAGGCCCACCAAGGCGACGAUCCGUAGCUGGUCUGAGAGGAUGAUCAGCCACACUGGAACUGAGACACGGUCCAGACUCCUACGGGAGGCAGCAGUGGGGAAUAUUGGACAAUGGGCGCAAGCCUGAUCCAGCCAUACCGCGUGGGUGAAGAAGGCCUUCGGGUUGUAAAGCCCUUUUGUUGGGAAAGAAAUCCAGCUGGCUAAUACCCGGUUGGGAUGACGGUACCCAAAGAAUAAGCACCGGCUAACUUCGUGCCAGCCGCCGCAGUAA
rnacentral:rRNA from 1 species